AUGAUUAUAAUCAAGUACUCCAUACAACCAUUAUCAACUCUUAAUUUGAUUUCUGUGCCCUUGAAUCAUGGCAUGUUCACCUUUUGUCAUGCAUAUUCAUUUACAGUUGUAUUUCAUCAGCAUAGCGUUCUGUCAUCAGAUCAGUCUCUCCUUUCAAUUAGUUCUCUUGCACUGACCGAUACAUUAGUCGGGUUAGGCGGGAACUUUAUUACUCCCUCCAUUAAAAGUUUCAGCAUGCCCAAUAUUAGGUCUUUGCUUCAAACAUUGUUGGUUAAUCGAGCCGAGACUUUGGCACCAUGA
rnacentral:rRNA from 1 species